AUCCACCCAAGCUCUAGUAUAGCCCAAAUAUGAAGUGUUCUUUAGUUAGUGCCCAGUUGUCUCAAUUAUGAAUUCUCUAGACAAUGAUCUUCUGAUGGAGCAGCUUAUCUAGUCAAUUAGGUACCAUUAUCUAUGUCAACCAGGGAUAAGGAAAACAUAAUGGAUC